ACGCGACAGCGAACAGUGGAUGACAAAACUUCGUGAUUUGGGAUCUUAUGAUCUCUCGAGUUUCAAAAGGGGGAUUACAAAAGUUUCGAGUGAAUGGCCAUCGCCGCCACAGCUCCUCCAUCGCCUUUGGUUCCACUGCUACUUCUUUCCAUUCUGUUUCUCUUCAAAGGCAAAGGCAUCCCGGGCUUGAAAGAUCGCUUGACAACAUUCUCCGUUUGGGCUAUACUGCUGCCUCUCAUCAUCUUUGUUGCUGUGAUCAUCAUCCAUCCAAGAUCCUCGUCUCAAACCAACACAGCAAACUUACCAAAGCUUUCAUCCACAUCAAACUAUAAUCACUUCGACACUUGUGGCGCUGGAGCUUCAAAUUCCUCCGAAGGCCCCAGAUGGGGAUACAUUCUCAUGUCCAUGCUCUUUGCGCUGCUCAUGCAACUGUUUAAAGAGAAGAAAAAGGAUUAGAGCCAAA